UCAGGAGAGCUGCUCCUGUCUACUCCCCCAGCACCCAGGUGAUAUUAGGGUGGAAAUUGUCAAGCAGCUUGCAGAGAAGUGAAGAGAGCUGGCAGUGAUGCAGCUGGACCUGGAGGUCAGGCCCUCUGAAAGUGAGACACUGUUGGGUCACCUCAGGAGCCUCAUUAAAGGCAGCUUUACAUGGCUCUGCCACCUCCUCAAAGAGGUGUGGUCUGCUGUCAGGAUCUUCUGAAAGGGGUAGCAGCAGGGAAUUGGUGUGGUCCAGUAGCAUCUGUCAUCUGGUAUAGAGAUGCUGUAACAAAAUUCCUGAACAGGAUGGGAAAGUGGUUCAGCUGAGCCUUGAGAGGUGAACAUACCUUGGCACCUGUCCCCUGGAUGGGACAACUUGAGGAAGGACCAUCAAUAUUCCCGUUCUCUACUCAGGACACUGCUAAUGUGUAUAUGAGGAGAGAGUGGAAUGAAGUCAACCUCUGCUUUAUUCUCACAUUCUAUGAGUCUGGACAUCAUGAA
rnacentral:lncRNA from 1 species